UACGUAGGGUGCAAGCGUUAACCGGAUUUACUGGGCGUAAAGGGUGCGUAGGUGGUCUUUUAAGUCGGUGGUUAAAGGCUACGGCUCAACCGUAUUAAGCCGCCGAAACUGGCAGACUUGAGUGCAGGAGAGGUAAGUGGAAUUCUCAGUGUAGCGGUGAAAUGCGUAGAUAUUGAGAAGAACACCAGUGGCGAAGGCGGCUUCCUGGAC
rnacentral:rRNA from 1 species